GUUUAGGGGAUCGAAGACGAUCAGAUACUGUCGUAGUCUUGACCAUAAACUAUACGGAUUUAGGGAGUGGGGUCAGUUUAUGAUAUAACUCCAUCAGACCAUACGAGAAAUCAAAGUAUGGUCGC
rnacentral:ncRNA from 1 species